AGAAGUCACAAUGGAAAGCCACAGCAGAAGCACUCACGGUGUGGCCCUGUCAGAUUCCAAUGAAACUGUGAAUUCUGCU
rnacentral:ribozyme from 1 species